GUUCCGUUCCGUUCUCCCGGGCCCUCGUGUCGUGGUUAGGGGCACGGGAGGCCUCUUCCUGCCGCGGACCCGUUCUCGUUGGAGGGUGUUGGUGCUUACUCUCGGACUCGCUUUCCCCCGGGCCGCGGCCAAAGCAACACAGGCUCUGCUUCCAUCGCUGCAGGUUGUCCGUUGUAUCGAUGAUAAUGAGGCCUGUUACACGUGUCGGGUUCCUGGCUUAUUUUCCUUGUGCAUGACUCGAACUGUUAUAACAACGCGCCCGCGUGUUAACGAAAGGUUGCAAGAACGUAAAUCUGAAAAUGGAUACAGAUCGUGUGGCCUAGUUUUAAGUACCAAGUUACCUGCUGGGGGAACUGAGCGAGUCGAGCAGUAUCUGUGGGAGGAAGGUACUGUGGUGGUGCACAACAGGAGAGAGAAGAGUAGAGUAGAUUCAGAUCUGCAAUAGCUGAAUCACUUUGCUUCAGAAUGGAGAGCCAUAACGCAAAGAAUCUUAUUAAGAAGCAGUGUACAAGUAGCCCGUUUUCCGAACAUUUGCUUUUACGAAAGACCUACAUUAGUUACCUGCUUGCACUUUUACAAGAAAAGGCAGUGCGUGCCUGAGCAGCCAAGCUCCUCCCCCAGAACUGCAUUCAGCAUCAAGCUGCCAUUGCUUAAACAAGUGCCUGUGAGCACCUGUGCUUCAUUGUGAUUUAUUUUGUGAGUCCUAACGCUUAGGUAAAACUGCACGUAAGUUAAGCGUUUUGAUCGUGGUCAACGAAAUAAGGACACCAUCAGCAGUGUGCUCACUGUCUUCUCAAUUCCGGUGUAUCUUGUUCAAUAAAUCAAAGUAAAAUUGUUGGACUAGAAUGCUGGAAUCAAGAUCAAUUGUCGAAGUUUCAGAAUAUGUAGUAUACAGAUGGACAAUGGCCGCCUUAUACAAAAGAAGACCUGCAGAACAGUGGUGUGACUACAUGAUGGGAUCACACCACCUGGAAUGGAUUCUGAGGUCACCCUAACUACUGAGGUCUGAAUUCACGUCAGUUCAAGUCUCUGGUGUAAGAAUACGCUUCUGAAUAUGUUGUAUUCAGGUUAGGAUCGCUUCCUGUCUUAAGGUAUUUGAAUAUUGUGCAUCAACAGAAAUGAUCACUGCAUUCUUUUAAGUUGAAGUUGUGACCUGAGUGGAAGAUUUCAAGAUGGUGAAUAAUGCUUGGGAUAUUUCCCUACUUUUUAAAGAAACAAGGGUCACAUACAAAGCCAGAAGAUUGGUACAAUGAACUUUGGACUCGUCGUUUCACAGAGGUUAAUCACUCUGCAUCUGAAAGUUGUGGUUAAAUUGGUAGAUCAUUCAAAGAAAGUAUUAAAAGUGCACACCAAAAAGUGAAAACCUUGUUUA